CCUACCUUUAAACACGGGACUUGUAACUCAGCUCACACCCAACCAAUCAGGUAGUAAAGAGGGCUCACUAAAAAUACAAAUUAGGCUAAAAUCAGGAGGUAAAGAAAUAGUCAAAUCAUAUAUCGCCUGAGAACACAGAGGGAGGGAAAAUGAUUUCGAUAUAAACCCCAGGCAUUUGGGCCGGGAGUGGGCAACCGCCUUUGGGUCCCCUCCCAUUAUAUGGGAGCUCUGUUUUCACUCUAUUAAAUCUUGCAACUGCACACUCUUCUGGUCCGUGUUUGUUAUGGCUGCAGCUGAGCUUUUGCUCGCCGUCCACCCCUGCUGAACGCCACUGUUGCAGAUCCGCUGCUGGCUUCCACCCUUCUGGAUCCGGCAGGGUGUCCGCUGCGCUCCUGAUCCAGUGAGGCGCCCACUGCUGCUCCCUAUGGGACUAAAGGCUCACCAUUGUUUCUGCACGGCUGAGUGCCUGGGUUAGUCCUAAUCGAGCUGAACACUAGUCGCUGGGUUCCACGGUUCUCUUCCGUGACCCACGGCUUCUAAUAGAGCUAUAACACUCACUGCAUGGCCCAGGGUUCCAUUCUUUGGAAUCCAUGAGGCCAAGAACCCCAGGUCAGAGAACAAAAGGCUUGCUGCCAUCUUGGGAGUGGCCGCCACCAUCUUGGGAGCUCUAAGAACAAAGACCCACCGGUAACAAAAUGAUAGCAUUAACCUUAGAAAUAUAUUAGAAGCAAGAGCUUCGCAAGAUGUCUUUUUAAAGAUGUCAACUCUCAGCCAUGUGACUUUCCUCUUAUCAUCAUCUUGUAGUGGACGACACUUUUCCCUUCUGUCUCUAACUCCCAGAUAGUCACCGACACCAUCACUCAAGACAUCUUCUUCCCAGCCCUGAAGUGCUGAUGACCCACUUUUAUCCUGUGAAACUGAUAAAGGCAAUUCUUAAGCCUUCAAAUAUCUCAGGAUUCUCAGUUCAUACACUUGCAUUGCUCUAUGCUAUAAAACAAUUUACCUGGUAGAGUGGUACUUUUGAAUUCAAUUAUUUGUAAUCAAAGGUUUGGAUCUAGAUUGAUUUACACAAGUAUUUCCAAGGAGUAUGGGAAAGUUUUGACAGAUGUCAGAGACAUUGCUUUUGAAAGACCCUUAAAAUGGCUAUGGGGACAGUUAGGGGUGUGGAAUAAUUGGCACAUUAUUGCCACAGUUAAUGGUAGAAUCCAGUCAUAAACAAGAGGUCUGGGAUUGUGGGGAAAAGAGAUUAUUAUACCACAUUUGCACACCCAAAACAUAUUCAAGUGGGAAGUGCAGCAACAAGACUGUAAACACACAGCUCAGUGCCCUUCCUGAACACUUGAACUGAGUUCCAUGAAAAGCAAGAAUUACCUUUUAAUCAUACAACUUAUGAGGUUGAAAAAGAUGGUCUUAAUAAAUGUGUCAGUUUAAAGCAGUCCUAUUGUCUUGUUAAUCUAUUUUAUUUUGGAACUAAUAGAGAUCUAUAAUUUUAAAAAAGCAUCAUGAAAUAAUAAGCAUGAGAUGUCUUACUUUGAUAACUAGAUUGUUGCGUGUUAUUAUAUUAAAUGUUUUAUUGGCUUCUUCAAUAUUAGACAUUCCUGGGUACAAUGAACACUGAUCAGGCCAGUAUUUAAAUUCAAUUUAUAUACAUGAUACUCAAUUCUUGUAUAAUAAUUUGUAUCUGUGUUUAGUGGUUUAUAAUUUUUGUUGUUGCAUUUUCCUUACAAGGUUAUGGGAAGAAAACUAUGUCUGUGGUUGCCUUUAAAAAAAAAAAAGAACAAAGUUGGUAAACCUAUUCUUCUCUAUUUUUUGAAAAAGUUACAACAUUCAAAAGUGGUGAUGCUAAUUAAAACAAAGGCAUUUGUAGCUGCAAGUCAUGAACCAAUGGUACUUCUCCAAUUCCUCAUUUGGUUACAUCAUUUAAAAAAAAUGUCCUUCAGGGGCUGGGCACUGUGACUCACCCUUGUAAUCCCAGAACUUUGGGAGGCUGAGGCUGGCGGAUCACCUGAGGUCAGGAGUUUGAGAACAGCCUGGCCAAUACGGUGAAACCCAGUCUCUACUAAAAAUGUAAAAGGUUAGCAGGGCAUGGUGGCAGGUGCCUGUAAUCCCAGCUACGCAGAGGCUGAGGCAGAAGAAUCGCUUGAACCCUGAAGGCAGAGGUUGCAAUGAACUGAGAUCGCACCACUGCACUCCAGCCUGGGUGACAGAUCGAGACUCUGUCUCAGAUAAAUAAAUAUAAAAAAUGUCCUUUGGUUAUUACAUUUUCCAGAGACUUCCUCCUUAACUUCUGUUUUAUAAUGACUACCUUUGUAUCUCCUUUCCUACUACCAAUGUUUAAUUUUAUCAUAACAUUUAUCAAGUUUUGGGCUCUUGUAGAACAGAGGUCUUGUUUUAUUUUUCUCUGAAUUAUUUGUGCUUUUCAUGAUUCCUGGUGUAUGAUGAAUCUUGCAUAAAUAUGUGUUUAAUGAAGAAUUACUUGGCCUCUGUCCUCAGUACAUUGAACAUUGGAAAUGAAAACGCACGCACUUGGCGCACACAGACAAACACUUACCCCAUGCAUGCUUCCACAACUCAGGUAAAGAGAGCACCACUGAGGAAUCUUCACCUUGAUUUAAGCUACUGCUAGCCUGCCAAGCUAAGUCAAUAGCACAUAUGCUUCCUGGUCACAUAGUCUAAACUAAUAGCUUUCAAAUGCCUGUUGUCUUCUAUUUUAUAAUUUUUAAACUUUUUGUUUCUCAUUUUUAAAAUUUUUAUUUAUGUAUUUAUUUUAUUUCAUUGUUUAAUUUUUUUGUGGGUAAUAGUAGGUGUAUAUGUUUAUGGGGUACAUGAGAUGUUUUGAUACAGGUGUGCAAUGUGAAAUAAGCACAUCAUGGAGAAUGGGGUAUCCAUCCCUUCAAGCAUUUAUCCUUUGAGUUACAAACAAUCCAAUUACAUUUUUAAACAAAUGCCAAACAGGCAUAUGAAAAAGUGCUCAACAUCACCGAUCAUCAGAGAAAUGAAAAUCAAAACUAUGAGAUAUCAUCUCAUCCCAGUUAAAAUGGCUUAUAUCCAAAAGACAUGGCAAUAACAAAUGCUGGUGAGGAUGUGAAAAAGGGAACCCUUGUACACUGUUGUGGGAAUGUAAAUUAGUAAAACCACUAUGGAGGAGAUUCCUCAAAAUCGAAACAUUUUAUUUUUUUGAGUCUGGGUUUCAUUCUGUCACCUAGGCUAGAGUGCAAUAUUCUGAUCAUAGCUUACUGCAACAUUGUACUCCUGGGCUCAAGCUAACCGCCUCCCUCAGCCUCCCAAGUCACUAGAUUACAGGUGUGCAUCACUAUGCCUAGCAAAUUUUUUUAAUUUUUUGUACAGACGGGGUCUUGCUCUGUUGCCCAAGCUGGUCUUGAACUCCUGACCUCAAACAUUCCCCCGGCUUCAGCCUUCAAAAGUGCUGAGAUUACAGACCUGAGACAUCACAACUGGCCUACUUCUUAAGGCUAAAAUCUCCUGUACAUUUUUUUUCCCCACAGGAAGUGCUUUUUAUAUGCCCAAUGAAUAUUUAUGGUUAAUUAAUUAAUUUUAAAAGAUGUUAAUUCAAGUUACUAAUAUAACAGUGUACUGUUUAAAUUUUUAUUUGCUAAAUAGUUCGCAAAGUGUACAAUACAGCUUAAAUUUUAACAAACACUUCAAAAUAUAAAACCUUUAAGUCAUCUUUGAUCUUUUAUUCUCCAUCUCCUUCCCCCCACCUCCUUUGCUACAUCUUACCAACCACUUCCAAUCAAUAUAACAAUUUGAAUUCUGAAAUGCUUCUUGAUAGUAUAAUUUAUCAUUCAUUUCUGGAAUAUCUACUAUAUUUAACACAUUGGUUACAUUUGGGGGGAAAUUUCCCUCCUUUGUUUGCUGUCUUUAUCAGGUAGAAGUAAAAAUAUUCAGCUUUCCUCACCUUCUUUGUAUUCAGGACCUUGUCUAUAACAAAUAAAUAGACUUGAGGGUCUGAUUAAAAACUAAGCAAACUGAGUUAGGAGGCCCAUAUAGAAUUCUUUGUAUUGGUUAUGAGUGAUAGCAGAAGUGCUUGGUAAUAAUUGGAAGGUCAAGAUCCUAAUAACAACAACAAACCAACAAAACAAAACAAAAUUAAGGUCAAUAUACUGGCAAACAGGUAGUGGCGGCAUUACACUUGAAUCUGGCAAGAAUGCUUGCUGUAUACCACCUACCGCUUGGUGGAUAUAGUGGGAGAGGUGUGUUUUGUAAUCAAGUAGCCUAGCUUUAAAAUGCAAUUUAAAACUUUGUUUCCUCUCAACUCAGAAUGUAGCCUUGAAAUGUACUUUAAAACUGUGUUUCUCUUCCUUUCCUACCAGACACUCCCUUGUGCCAUGCAUGCUUAUCUGACUAUGUGCAUCCUUAGAAAUUCCAAGGGCUAAUUUUGAAAUAAACCAGGCACGGAGGCUCAGGUGUGGAAUCCUCUCGCUUAAGGGGAGUCAGAAACAAUUAGGUGACCACCACUAUGCUAAGGUCAAGAUGAUGCCAACCAGACCUCCAGAUGUGUAAUUACUCAAGUUAGCCAUUGGAAGAAGACACACAGUCUCUGCACCCUGAAACACUCAUGUAUGUUUCUCACAUCAAGUUUCCCUUUUAAACACCAUCACUCAGCCCAAAAAUUUGAAAUGGUUUUGUAGAAGCAUGAGCCUGGCCAUUCCUCAACUGCCAGCCUUUGAUUAAUAAGCUGCUUUCCUUCCACCACACCUAGUUUCUUAUGUAUUCAGCUUCUCAGAUGGCGAGCAGCUGGACUUGUGUUUGGCUACAUUUUCUUAUCAAGUUAAUUUGGUAGCCAGGUUUGUAGCAUUGUUACCAGAACCCCAGCUGGGAACCUGUGAACAGUUAUCUAGCUUUCUCUGUAGUUCUUUGAACUACUUAAUAUUCUUUUAAUAAUCUCAUGUUCUGCUUAAGCUGCCAGUCAGCUUUUGUACUUGCAAUAUUGAACACAUACUAAGAGCUCCUAAUACAAUCAUUUUUCCCCUCUCUGCUAAUGAUCAGGUCCUUAUUACUCUUAAUUAUCUUCUGACUGAUCUUCUCUCAAUGAUCGUCCUGUUCUGCAAUAAAUCAUAUCAGCAAAUUUUCUAAAUAUGAAACUUAUGCUAAUGUUUUUUGAUUUAAGAUAUCUGUUACAAUUACAGUAUGAUAUAGCUGACCUAUUUUAAUCACUUCACUAAAACAAUCUUUUUUUUCUUGUAUUUGUUGUGAAAAUCAACUUGGAACAAAUAUUGUUGGUCUUUUGGUUGUAAAAACAUGCAGGCAAUAAAAGAUUAAUGUUAAAAAAACAAUAAUUGAGAGUUCUUUUUUUUUACAGUGGAUCUCUUUUCAAAACAAAAGUAGACAGGGAGAAACUUGGGGAAUUUGGUCUGGCAUGAUCAAGGGCUCAGCCCUCCAUCUUCUGGAUUUAAAACCUGACCUUGUCUUUGUGUCACAAUUUAUUAAAAUGAUGAAUGCCAAAAUAGAAAAAGAUGGCAAGAGACUGAUCUUAAAAAGCAGAAUGCUAAUUUCUUAGUUUAAAUGAGAAAUAUAAGUGCCAAGGGAAGAAAAAAUAGCUGUGG
rnacentral:lncRNA from 1 species